UUCCUUUUUAAAAUAUCAAAAAUCAACCUUAAUCCCCAUUCUCUCAAAAUCAGCCGCCUCCUUCUCCUCUCCCUUCUUUCUACCUUCUGUCUCUCUAAACCAAUAAAAACCGCCGUCGUCCCCCGUCACCGACGAACCAGCCCCCAUCGAACCAGGCCUCUGUUGCUGACGCCGGCGUACAGAAACAACCCCUACCGCCGGCGAAUACCACCGGCUGCCGUCACCAUCUCCAACAGCUGCCUUCCACCAGAGAAGCAACCGUUCUGCCGCCGCCUUAUCAUGUUCUCAAUCUCAAGCCGCGACCAGCAACAGUACCGCACCGCCACUCCUCGACGCCCUCUCCCUCUUCUAUUAUCUUCUCCACUGGCGAAAUCCCUUAAAACAGCGACACUAACGGCCGUAGCCCGCUCCAGCCGCGGCCACCACCGCUAUUAUCAGUGAAAUAUCGUUGGAAAUUCUUAAAUGCAUGACAGAUUUACGAAAUCCGUCCCAGGACAAGGAGGAGAACAAAGUGCACAUAGAUCUUAUUCCUAUCUCACGCAGAUAAAGAGGUGGUUUUUGAAAGAUCUCGAAUCAGGUAAAGUUGAGUUUGAGUAGUUGUCUCAAAACUAUUUGUAAUGAUAAUAACUUGGUGGCUUUUUCCACUUAUCCCUGAGAUAGAUAAUGCUUCCCAAAAUCACAAAAUUGACCAAUGUAACGGAGAAGCUACUAGCAUCUCCACAAAAUUGCACGAAGAAAAUCUUAUGUUUGAACAUGCCUCACAUCAAGUUUCAGAAGUUCCAAUAUAAAUCAAAAUGGAAAAGAAGGUUUUCCAAACUAGCAAUAUGAAUCUAUGCAAUAUGAAUUCAGAUCAGAAUCCUAAGGAUAUUUGAAAAAAGGAGCAAAAUUGUUGAGUCUAUUGCGAAAGAGGUAGUCUAUCUGUUCAAUGUCCGAGCCCCUGCAGACAUUCAAGUAUAUAUAUAGCAGCGGGAGGAUUAGGUUUGUUUUAUUUUCUAUCCUUUAGUUUUAAUGUAUCGAUGUAGAAUGCAUUUAGUGUUAUGAAUGUUACAAAACUCUACUUUGGUGAGUAUCGAUAAAGGGGUACAAUUGAAAAAUAAUGCUACUUCCUUCGUAAUUGUUAUAUUUUACUUUUUGAAAGUCAAUUUAAUUUAUUUUUAUAACUAAACUAUGGUUAUUUUGAUAUUCUAGAAUCAAAAUUUAGAUAUCCAAAUACAUUUCGGAAACUACUAUAAGUUGUAAUUUUUCUCUAAUCAAUAUAAAUUGUUGAAUUCUUUUCACCUAAAAAUGCUAGAUUGAAAAAUAAGUUUUCUGCAUAUAUAUAAAUUGUUGAAUUAUUUACGCAUGCAUAAGAUUUCUUGUUAUUUUUUUAAUUAGAAUUUCUAGCUGCACUACUAAAUCUAAUUGUAGACCAAUAUGCCAAUAUAUUUUAGCAACAUUAAAUUGGAAUUUUGUAAAAAAAAAAGAAAAGAAAAAAUCAGUCUUUAGGACGACUAAAUACUUAAUUGGCAUCGAAUAUGAUUAUCAAUA